GCAUUAAUGGGGUAGUGGUAACCUGGGUCGUUGCCAUAUCAUCUUUAUGUAGGGGAUAUAAGUUACAGCUCGACCCGCCGGGAGUUCGAUUCUCUCUUAAUGCA